rnacentral:rRNA from 1 species
UACAGAGGGGGCAAGCGUUGUUCGGAAUUACUGGGCGUAAAGGGCGCGUAGGCGGCCCGCUAAGUCGAACGUGAAAUCCCCGGGCUCAACCCGGGAACUGCGUCCGAUACUGGCAGGCUUGAAUCCGGGAGAGGGAUGCGGAAUUCCAGGUGUAGCGGUGAAAUGCGUAGAUAUCGAGAGGAACACCUGCGGCGAAGGCGGGUAGCUGGGCCGACACUGACGCUGAGGCGCGAAAGCCAGGGGAGCGAACGGG